rnacentral:piRNA from 1 species
UGAGACUCCUCACGGGAGCAUCGGCCUGC